GAAAGAGCACUACCAGGUGUUAGGAGCGUUUUGUCUCACUUUAGAGUGAUCAUCCUCUGGCCUACCUUGACACAUGCUCUCCUUCAAAAUGCUAAUUCAGAGUGAAGUAAUUGGGAAACUGUUCAUUUGAGGAUAAAAAAGGCAUUGUAUUAUAUUUUGCCAAAUUAAAGCCUUAUUUAUGUUUUCACCCUUUCUACUUUGUCAGAAACACUGAACAGAGUUUUGUCUUUUCUAAUCCUUGUUAGACUACUGAUU
rnacentral:lncRNA from 1 species